rnacentral:rRNA from 1 species
GAUAGUUCCUUGAACCGGCAUGGUUCAAGGAUGAAAGACGGUUUCGGCUGUCACUUACAGAUGGACCCGCGGCGCAUUAGCUAGUUGGUGGGGUAAUGGCUCACCAAGGCGACGAUGCGUAGCCGACCUGAGAGGGUGAUCGGCCACACUGGGACUGAGACACGGCCCAGACUCCUACGGGAGGCAGCAGUAGGGAAUCUUCCGCAAUGGACGAAAGUCUGACGGAGCAACGCCGCGUGAGUGAUGAAGGUUUUCGGAUCGUAAAGCUCUGUUGUUAGGGAAGAACAAGUGCGAGAGUAACUGCUCGCACCUUGACGGUACCUAACCAGAAAGCCACGGCUAACUACGUGCCAGCAGCCGCGGUAAUACGUAGGUGGCAAGCGUUGUCCGGAAUUAUUGGGCGUAAAGGGCUCGCAGGCGGUUUCUUAAGUCUGAUGUGAAAGCCCCCGGCUCAACCGGGGAGGGUCAUUGGAAACUGGGAAACUUGAGUGCAGAAGAGGAGAGUGGAAUUCCACGUGUAGCGGUGAAAUGCGUAGAGAUGUGGAGGAACACCAGUGGCGAAGGCGACUCUCUGGUCUGUAACUGACGCUGAGGAGCGAAAGCGUGGGGAGCGAACAGGAUUAGAUACCCUGGUAGUCCACGCCGUAAACGAUGAGUGCUAAGUGUUAGGGGGUUUCCGCCCCUUAGUGCUGCAGCUAACGCAUUAAGCACUCCGCCUGGGGAGUACGGUCGCAAGACUGAAACUCAAAGGAAUUGACGGGGGCCCGCACAAGCGGUGGAGCAUGUGGUUUAAUUCGAAGCAACGCGAAGAACCUUACCAGGUCUUGACAUCCUCUGACAACCCUAGAGAUAGGGCUUUCCCUUCGGGGACAGAGUGACAGGUGGUGCAUGGU